GGUUUCGGAGAAGAUUCUGAACAAGAAGGAGCUGGAGUUCUACAAGUGGGAGGGCAAUCUCACCCAGCUGCUGCAGAACGUCCGUGACAAGCUUAACCAAGUCGCUUCUGUAAGUCCUAGGAACCAAACUUUGCAUCUUUUGUCUUCUGCUCUCAAGGCCGAUCAAAUAGCUUCUAACGAAAUGGUAAUUUCGGUUCCGUAUACAUCUUCUGCAGAGCUGGUCCCGGGAGGAGAAGGACCACUGCCUGGAGGAGACGGAGAAGUCAUUCACUUACUCCGGACAGCUCCUCCGCCACAUAUUCACCUGAUCUGACAUUGCC
rnacentral:lncRNA from 1 species